UCGACAUUUGGAAACUUCAGAAAGAAAACGUCUCUUCCUUCUUUUCUUGGUUUUGGACCAGACACGGGAAGAACAUCGCAAUUUUGCGGAUUUGAAAGAAGGUUUCAAAGUGUUCCUGAAUCGACAAUUGAUUUAUCUCAAAGGAGAUAAUCAAUUAUCUAGUGUCGUAGGAUUUAUGUAGGAAUUACUCGAAACUUUCAAAUUGAAGUUUACCUUGUCGAAGAACUCGGACAUCUCGAAAGGCCACACUCCAACUCAGGCCUUCACCACUGUUGGUAGCGACAUAAAAGCUGAUGAUCGUAAGCCACAUGUCUUAAAAAAGGUAAUAUUGUUCCUUUUUAUCGUUCAUUUUGGUCUGAACGGGACGUAUUGACAUCACAGAAGUAACACUACCAAAACUGUCAGCGUUACUGCGUUACCCACUUCAUCUAUCUGAAAAGAACAUUCAGCGGAAAAUCCUAAUAUAAUUUGCAAAUAUAGUCGAGUGUCAAUUUCAGACCGUCUCUAUGGAUUUUCGUGGAGUUUUUGCCUAACCGAGGAGACGAUAGAAAACAUAAUACUCUGGGGUUUCGUGUGGAUAUUGUUUCAGGAAUUGUGGCAAACUGUUAUGAAUAGACAUUUUUUCUGUACGUUGGCGAUGGAUACUUUUGUUUGGGGAGAAUGAGGCGCGAUUUGGAAGUCUGGAGGCCUAGAGACGACCAACGAAGGAGUAGAGGCCCCUCAAUUAUUCAAGUUGAAUGUUCAACUUUCCGAUAAGUCGUGAGCAUGUCCUGCGGGGUCAACCGUCUUU